GAUGAAGAACGCAGUGAAAUGCGAUACGUAGUGUGAAUUGCAGAAUUCAGUGAAUCAUCGAAUCUUUGAACGCACAUUGCGCCCUUUGGUAUUCCAAAGGGCAUGCCUGUUCGAGCGUCAUUUGUACCCUCAAGCUUUGCUUGGUGUUGGGCGUCUUGUCUCCAGUCCGCUGGAGACUCGCCUUAAAGUCAUUGGCAGCCGGCCUACUGGUUUCGGAGCGCAGCACAAGUCGCACUCUUUUCCAGCCAAGGUCAGUGUCCAACAAGCCUUUUUUCAACUUUUGACCUCGGAUCAGGUAGGAAUACCCGCUGAACUUAAGCAUAUCAAUAAGCGGAGGA
rnacentral:misc_RNA from 1 species